UACGUAGGGUACAAGCGUUGUCCGGAAUUAUUGGGCGUAAAGAGCUCGUAGGCGGUCUGUCGCGUCUGCUGUGAAAACUCGGGGCUUAACCCCGGGCCUGCAGUGGGUACGGGCAGACUAGAGUGCGGUAGGGGAGACUGGAAUUCCUGGUGUAGCGGUGAAAUGCGUAGAGAUCGGGAGGAACACCGGAGGCGAAGGCGCCAGCUGGCCCUGACCUGACGCUGAGGCGCGAAGGCGUGGGGAGCGAACGGG
rnacentral:rRNA from 1 species